rnacentral:piRNA from 1 species
UGAGCAUUCGACUUUCCUACCUCUGAGCCU